GUCAGACAUUGCGUAAAGCAUGGCGGCGUCCGUAGGCGUUUGCGUCCCAGCGUGAUGACGCCGCGGCCCGGAAUGGAGUUCUGGAAACGGGAAAGGAGAGCUGUUGCAGCUUUCAAAAUGGAGAAGAUCACAUGGCAAAGAAUGCAGAUGGUCUGUGUUUGCUGAAGCAGCCCCUAGCUGAUGGCUGGCAAAGAAAUAUCAAUAGAAACCACUGUUUUAGAACUAAAGGAAACUGAAUUCUGCUACAACCAUAUGUGCCUAGAAGAAGACCCCAAGCCUAAGAUGAAGACACAGUUUGGCUGACAUCCUCAUUUCACCACUGUGAGAAUCUUAAGAGAGCCCAGGUACUAGUGCUUAGACUUCUGACUGACAUACCUGUGAAAUAAGUGAGAACACCUUCACUUAUGGCCAGAGACCUGAAAGACUUUCUUGGAUAAAAGAGUUCUUCGAGAUCUACUUGUUGCGAUAAGGAAAUACAGAGCAAAUAUCUGAUGAGGUUAUGAAGCUUUUGUUAAGUGGCAGAACAUUGUUUGAAUUUUCUCUUCAUGAAAAACAGAAAUAAAAACCAUAAUGACAUGAAGGAAAUUCAGCACAGACAAGCCUGAAUAUUUGGAGCAACAGAAUUCCUGGAGAAUGACUUAAAUCUUAUACUUAGUGAGUGCUGAUUAAUAAUCAAUAAAGCAAAUGAGUCAA